rnacentral:lncRNA from 1 species
UAACUAUCAAACAACAUAAAAAGAAAAGUAAAAAGAAAAAAAUAUACCUGAAAUAACACUCAACUUCUUACAGAUAAAACUAUAGCUAAACUCACUCAAAUCCACACUUAACAUCUUUUAUGUGUUUAAACGGUUGUCUGUACGUUCGGCACUGUCCCAACUACUUUGGAAUUCUGUACAUUUGUCUAUUCAAUAUAUAUCUAUCGUAAAGUAAAAAAAGAAAAAA